UCGUUCGCGAGCGACUCAUUAUUAUGCUGUGGUUCCCCCCCGACCUGCCCCUGCGCCUCACUGUGCUGCUUCUCAACUUCAGUGGUCAGGUGUUGCAGAAGACCUGAAGACAAUUAAAGUGCUUCUCGUGUUGUCGCCCACAGGAUCAAGUACCCAUUUUUAUCUGUGUCAGUACACCCGAGUUACGCCUGAUACACGUGCCCCGGUGUCUGUACCAUGGCUUGGCCUGGAGACAACUUUAUCCCACUGCACACUGGGCCAGAUGGAGACUUUACCAAGCUAUUAAAAAAGCUAAAGAACCUUAGAGAUGAACAUGUUAGAAAUACUUAUGAAGCGCAACAGAAUUGGUUCUCAUCUCUGUUCUCAUCAAGUGAAAGCACAAUCCUGAUAAGUCUCGGGAUUGUGUUAGUAGCAGCGAUAUUGAUAGCUGUGUCCUGCUGCUUAGCAUGUUGGAUCCAAGACAUGAAGUCAAGAAUGUUUGGCCUGGCUGCACAAGCGACUCAACAGAAUGCAGAUGAGAAAAAUGUGAUUAUGAUGUAUAAAAAAACGAGCCUGCCAGAGGUGCAGGUAAUGAGAGAUGAUGUGUAGGUUGCAAGGAUUACUCAUUUGAGAAUGCUGCUUCAUCAAGGUGCUG